AUACUCUUGAUUUAUCUGAGUAUCCGGUGUGUGUUUAUUCUGGCUUAUAAGAAGUAGUAAUUACAUUUACUAUAUUAAAGAAGAUAGGAGAUCGUGAAUUAUUCAAAUUACCAAGAUUUUCAAUCUUUAUGGUUUGAUCCAUGAUACAAAAUUGUAAGGUUUCUCCCUCUCUUUCUAUUUUUUUUUUUCUAUUUUUUUUUCGUCGAGAACAUUAGAUUUGGGAGUGAAAUGAACAAAAUCUAUUACGAAACCCAAAUGGGUGUUAACGAGCAAGACAUAAUUUUUACGAAAUAAUUCUAUAAAUCUUUUCUUGGUUUUCUGUUUUCUCUAUGUGAUUGGAUUGACUAAUUAGUGGAGUUAAUUAUAAUAUCCAUUCAAGUGGGUUCUUCUUCAUUUUGUUGACCCAUUGUGCAUUUGUAAUGUACUGGAGUUGAUUACAGUAAUCUGUUUCAGUUAUUAGUUUGUUUUGAAUUAGAAAUACAUGAAUAUGUGAUUAUUUGGGCAAUUGAAGUAGGAAAAAGAGGAACUUUUUAACUAGGACUAUGUACACUUCUUUUUAGUUCGUAAUUUUAAAAUUUGAAGAAUAUGUCUACAAGUGUGUGAUAGAGCUAGACCAUGAAAAUUAUAUAUAUAAAAAAGUAAUCUGCUGUGAUGAGUAGAAAGUUGGCAUAUUGUUGUACAUUUUUCACUAGAUAACAGAUGGGGUCUGGAAGAUUGACUUUCUUGAUUCUAUUGGCAGAAAGUAUUUUAGAGGGGUGUCAUGGGGUUGAGCAAAACUGAAGUGAACUUGAAGAGAUUACUUGUAACUGCACCACAACAGCAAAAUCAAGCAAAGCUUAUACAUGGUUCACUUGACUUGAAAGAUGACAGGGAUGAAAGAUAAUAACAAUGAGAUAACGAUGACAUGAGGGCCAAACAGAAGGGUACAACUCAUGACUUACAAUCUUUUGGUUGCGAAUGCCAUCUUUGAUUUUGACGGAGUUUAGCUGGAGCUCUUUGAAUAUGGCUAAGAUUGCGUUCUAGCUAAAACUGUACGUUAGUACUUAUGAACUCUGCAAAGCGUUAGUUGUACCUAACUGUUGCCCAGGGUAUUCCAAAUGUCAUCAUUCAGAAAGCAAUUACCAUAAGUUAUUCAUUUGCA